AAACCAUGAUAUGGAAACUUACAAGCAUUAACUUGAAGCACUCCCAUGCUUCAUACGAUGACUCUUCUAGUUGCUGAAAAUUGGUAAUCUCUAUCUGUAACU
rnacentral:snoRNA from 1 species